ACCCUUUCAAAAUCAACCAAAAUGCCUAUAUUUGUGGUGCCGGCUUGUCCGGCUAUGACGCUAAACGCUUUGCGGAAUAAACGUAGCGGACCCGGGGGCGGUACCCGGCGCCUCCACCAGGAGCACACUGAACACCGAAUCACGAGCCGUAUGGCUUGGCAGUGUGCUGCUGAUGGGGGCGAAAUAGGAUCGACGCGCGUAAUAAAGGCACGGUUUGCGUUCGGCAUGGCUCCACCGUUAUCGGGCCAUUUCUACAAGUGCCAAUGAUAAUGAAAUGGUGCUCGCUGCCUAAUUAAAAGGUAAGCGCGGUUCGGGGGGCACCGGGCAACAGAAGCCCCCUACU
rnacentral:tmRNA from 1 species